GUUGGUAUUAACUGUGCUGCAGUUUGUGGGUAGGAGUGUAUGAAGUCCGUUUGUGGGUGAAUUCGUCUUACUCAGGUGUUCACGAAUCUGUGCCUCCCGGAUGCUGUGCCAAGACAGCACCACAUCUCCUCCUACUUGGCUACCGACGUGUUGAACGGCUCGCUUACUCAACGCUGAUUGUGCCAGAUACCACCUCAAGGAUGACCUCUAAAAUAUCCCACCGCACCACUCGAAUUUCCCUCUCAGUUUGAAGGCCAGCUAAUCACCGGAACUUUCGAGUGUCAUUAAGGUUUUCUAAAAAUCAAAAAUUCCUGAACUUGAAAUAAAAAAAUAGGUUCGUGGUAUUUGCCCGAAUUUAGAGCGUCUUUGAAUAUAACACGGAUCUCGAGUUGUGAUAGGUUACGGUGUGGAAUAGAUUGAAUUUAACUUUUAAAAAUUCCGAAUUGUACAUAAAAUAAGCUGAUUUAUAAUAAAAUGCUGUUUUUGGCUGUAGCAUUUUAGUAAAUGUUGGCUAAUAUCUACACCUAGGUCUAGAACUGGAUCCACCGAUUAUGGCCGCUGACCUUGUGGGUAGAGCCCAGAAUGCGGACCGCUCAAUGAAGGAAGGAAUUUCCGUCGGUCAGUGCAGUUUGUGUCAGAGCAGAAGUGUGGAAGUCUGAUAACUGUUGUCUUGUGACUGCUGUGUUAACAACAUGCCACCUGUUCCUUGAAAUCUCCUUCCUGGUCAUUGAUAACGCCUCGUACCACAACACUCAGACAGACAGACAAACCACCGACGUCUUAAUCAAAGAAGGACGAAAUGAAAGCCUGGCUAUUGGAAAGAAACAUUCCAUUUUGUGACAACGCGAUGAAAGCUCAACUUUAUGAUUUAAUCAAAUUAAAUAAAUCAAAGCACAAAUAUCAUGUGAUUGAUCAGAUUUUAGCAGACAAAGAACUGAGACUUCCGCCAUACGAUCUCGAUUUAAACCCCACUGAACUUAUUUGGGUAGAUUUAAAACAAAGGGUUGCAAGCAAGAACACGACAUUUAAAAUUAAGGACGUCGAGCAUCUUUGUCGCCAGAGAUUCGAAGAAAUUGGGCAAGAGGAAUGGGAGAAUGUUUGUCGUCACGUGGAGAAACUAGAACAAAUUUGUUAUGAGCGAGAAGGCGUAAUCGAAGACGCCAUUGAACGAA